UAAGACUGUCCUUUAGAAGCUUUACAUUUCCUUCGUUGUCCACUAAUGACUUGGCUUUUGCAACUUGUGGUUUACUUUGUAGCAAGAUUAUAGACCCCUAAUGAUGAUGAAGUAUAUGAUUGGGAACUUUGAUGUGUGGAAUGGCCCACAUGAAGCUGUUGAUGAAAAUGGCCUUGAUGAAGAGAGGAGUUGUGGAAUUGUUCAUGAUCUCAGACAAUAAGGAUGACUGGAGCAAAGGCAAAAUGGAAGGUUGUGUCUGAUUCUUCAUGACCCUAUUUGGAGGUUUUCUGGAUUGGUUUGCCAUUUCCUUCUCCAUCUCACUUUACAGAUGAAGAACUUAAGCAAAGAAGGUUAAGUUACUUGCCCAGGGUCACACAGUUAGUAUGUGUUUGAGGCUAAUUUUUAAAGUCAGGAAGAUAAGUCUCCCUGAUUCUUAGACCUGAUACUUUACCCACUAUUACCAUCUGGCUGCCCCAUCUCAAAUUACUUAAUGGUUUUGUGUGUAUGUCUUUAAAGUACUCAGAUUUGCCAUUUUAAUGGAAAAAUAGCAUUCCAUUCCAUUAACAUAUCAUUUUGUUUAAC
rnacentral:lncRNA from 1 species